UUGUUGUUAUGAACAUUGUUAGUUUUGGCGAGUUUGAAGGUUUGUGAGCAUGUAGUAUGGCACGUAUGUGUUGAAUUGGUUACCCCUUGUGUUAAGCUGUGUUUUAAGUGUUCUUUUAAAGAGUUUGGCUUGUUGUUAUGAACAUUGUUUGUUUUGACGAGUUUAAAGAUUUGUGAGCAUGUGUAAUGGCAUGUAUGUGUUGAAUUAAUUCACCCUUGUGUUUAGAUAUAUUUUUAUUGUUCUUUUGAUGAGUUUUGGCUUGUUGUUAUGAGCAUUGUUUGUUUUGGCGUGUUUGAAGGUUUUUGAGCAUGUGUAAUGGCAUGAAUGAGUUAAGCUGUUGUUUUAGUGUUCUUUUGAUGAGUUUGGCUUGUUUUUAUGAAAAUUGUUUGUUUUGGCGAGUUUGAAGGUUUUUGAGCAUGUGUAAUGGCAUGAAUGCGUUAAGCUGUUGUUUUAGUGUUAUUUUGAUGAGUUUGGCUUGUUGUUAUGAACAUUGUUUGUUUUGGCGAGUUUGAACGUUUUUGAGCAUGUGUAAUGGCAUGAAUGCGUUAAGCUGUUGUUUUAGUGUUCUUUUGAUGAGUUUGGCUUGUUGUUAUGAACAUUGUUCGUUUUGGCGAGUUUGAAGGUUUUUGAGCAUGUGUAAUGGCAUGAAUGUGUUAAGCUGUUGUUUUAGUGUUCUUUUGAUGAGUUUGGCUUGUUGUUAUGAAAAGUGUUUGUUUUGGCGAGUAUGAAGGUUUUUGAGCAUGUGUAAUGGCAUGAAUGUGUUGAAUUAGUAAUCCAUUGUGUUAAGAUGUGUUUUAAGUGUUCUUUUAAGGAGUUUGGCUUGUUGUUAUGAAAAGUGUUUGUUUUGGCGAGUUUGAACGUUUUUGAGCAUGUGUAAUGGCAUGAAUGCGUUAAGCUGUUGUUUUAGUGUUCUUUUGAUGAGUUUGGCUUGUUUUUAUGAAAAUUGUUUGUUUUGGCGAGUUUGAAGGUUUUUGAGCAUGUGUAAUGGCAUGAAUGCGUUAAGCUGUUGUUUUAGUGUUAUUUUGAUGAGUUUGGCUUGUUGUUAUGAACAUUGUUUGUUUUGGCGAGUUUGAACGUUUUUGAGCAUGUGUAAUGGCAUGAAUGCGUUAAGCUGUUGUUUUAGUGUUCUUUUGAUGAGUUUGGCUUGUUGUUAUGAACAUUGUUCGUUUUGGCGAGUUUGAAGGUUUUUGAGCAUGUGUAAUGGCAUGAAUGUGUUAAGCUGUUGUUUUAGUGUUCUUUUGAUGAGUUUGGCUUGUUGUUAUGAAAAGUGUUUGUUUUGGCGAGUAUGAAGGUUUUUGAGCAUGUGUAAUGGCAUGAAUGUGUUGAAUUAGUAAUCCAUUGUGUUAAGAUGUGUUUUAAGUGUUCUUUUAAGGAGUUUGGCUUGUUGUUAUGAACACUGUUUGUUUUGGCGAGUUUGAAGGUUUUUGAGCAUGUGUAAUGGCAUGAAUGUGUUAAGCUGUUGUUUUAGUGUUCUUUUGAUGAGUUUGGCUUGUUGUUAUGAAAAGUGUUUGUUUUGGCGAGUUUGAAGGUUUUUGAGCAUGUGUAAUGGCAUGAAUUUGUUAAGCUGUUGUUUUAGUGUUCUUUUGAUGAUUUUGGCUUGUUGUUAUGCACAUUGUUUGUUUGGGCGAGUUUAAAGGUUUUUGAGCAUGUUUAAUGGCAUGUUUGUGUUGAAUUAGUUAACCCUUGUGUAAAGCUGUUGUUUUAGUGUUCUUUUGAUGAGAUUGGCUUGUUGUUAUGAACAUUGUUUUUUUUUGGCGAGUUUAAAGGUUUUUGAGUAUGUGUAAUGGCAUGAAUGUGUUAAGCUGUUGUUUUAGUGUUCUUUUGAUGAGUUUGGCUUGUUGUUAUGAACAUUGUUUGUUUUGGCGAGUUUGAAGGUUUUUGAGCAUGUUUAAUGGCAUGUUUGUGUUAAGGUGUUGUUUUAGUGUUCUUUUUUAUGAGUUUGGCUAUUUGUUAGGAGCAUUGUUUGUUUUGGCGAGUUUGAAGGUUUUUGAGCAUGUUUAAUGGCAUGUUUGUGUUAAGGUGUUGUUUUAGUGUUCUUUUGAUGAGUUUGGCUUGUUGUUAUGAACAUUGUUAGUUUUGGCGAGUUUGAAGGUUUGUGAGCAUGUAGUAUGGCACGUAUGUGUUGAAUUGGUUACCCCUUGUGUUAAGCUGUGUUUUAAGUGUUCUUUUAAAGAGUUUGGCUUGUUGUUAUGAACAUUGUUUGUUUUGACGAAUUUAAAGAUUUGUGAGCAUGUGUAAUGGCAUGUAUGUGUUAAAUUAAUUCACCCUUGUGUUUAGAUAUAUUUUUAGUGUUCUUUUGAUGAGUUUUGGCUUGUUGUUAUGAGCAUUGUUUGUUUUGGCGAGUUUGAAGGUUUUUGAGCAUGUGUAAUGGCAUGAAUUUGUUAAGCUGUUGUUUUAGUGUUCUUUUGAUGAUUUUGGCUUGUUGUUAUGCACAUUGUUUGUUUGGGCGAGUUUCAAGGUUUUUGAGCAUGUUUAAUGGCAUGUUUGUGUUGAAUUAGUUAACCCUUUUGUUAAGCUGUUGUUUUAGUGUUCUUUUGAUGAGUUUGGCUUGUUGUUAUGAAAAUUGUUUGUUUUGGCGAGUUUGAAGGUUUUUGAGCAUGUGUAAUGGCAUGAAUGUGUUAAGCUGUUGUUUUAGUGUUCUUUUGAUGAGUUUGGCUUGUUGUUAUGAACAUUGUUUGUUUUGGCGAGUUUGAACGUUUUUGAGCAUGUGUAAUGGCAUGAAUGUGUUGAAUUAGUAAUCCAUUGUGUUAAGAUGUGUUUUAAGUGUUCUUUUAAGGAGUUUGGCUUGUUGUUAUGAAAAGUGUUUGUUUUGGCGAGUUUGAACGUUUUUGAGCAUGUGUAAUGGCAUGAAUGCGUUAAGCUGUUGUUUUAGUGUUCUUUUGAUGAGUUUGGCUUGUUUUUAUGAAAAUUGUUUGUUUUGGCGAGUUUGAAGGUUUUUGAGCAUGUGUAAUGGCAUGAAUGCGUUAAGCUGUUGUUUUAGUGUUAUUUUGAUGAGUUUGGCUUGUUGUUAUGAACAUUGUUUGUUUUGGCGAGUUUGAACGUUUUUGAGCAUGUGUAAUGGCAUGAAUGCGUUAAGCUGUUGUUUUAGUGUUCUUUUGAUGAGUUUGGCUUGUUGUUAUGAACAUUGUUCGUUUUGGCGAGUUUGAAGGUUUUUGAGCAUGUGUAAUGGCAUGAAUGUGUUAAGCUGUUGUUUUAGUGUUCUUUUGAUGAGUUUGGCUUGUUGUUAUGAAAAGUGUUUGUUUUGGCGAGUAUGAAGGUUUUUGAGCAUGUGUAAUGGCAUGAAUGUGUUGAAUUAGUAAUCCAUUGUGUUAAGAUGUGUUUUAAGUGUUCUUUUAAGGAGUUUGGCUUGUUGUUAUGAAAAGUGUUUGUUUUGGCGAGUUUGAAUGUUUUUGAGCAUGUGUAAUGGCAUGAAUGCGUUAAGCUGUUGUUUUAGUGUUCUUUUGAUGAGUUUGGCUUGGUGUUAUGAGCAUUGUUUGUUUUGGCGAGUUUGAAGUUUUUUGAGCAUGUUUGAUUGCAUGAAUGUGUUAAGCUGUUGUUUUAGUGUUCUUUUGAUUAGUUUGGCUUGUUGUUAUGAACAUUGUUUGUUUUGGCGAGUUUGAAGGUUUUUGAGCAUGUGUAAUGGCAUGAAUUUGUUAAGCUGUUGUUUUAGUGUUCUUUUGAUGAUUUUGGCUUGUUGUUAUGCACAUUGUUUGUUUGGGCGAGUUUAAAGGUUUUUGAGCAUGUUUAAUGGCAUGUUUGUGUUGAAUUAGUUAACCCUUGUGUAAAGCUGUUGUUUUAGUGUUCUUUUGAUGAGAUUGGCUUGUUGUUAUGAACAUUGUUUUUUUUUGGCGAGUUUAAAGGUUUUUGAGUAUGUGUAAUGGCAUGAAUGUGUUAAGCUGUUGUUUUAGUGUUCUUUUGAUGAGUUUGGCUUGUUGUUAUGAACAUUGUUUGUUUUGGCGAGUUUGAAGGUUUUUGAGCAUGUUUAAUGGCAUGUUUGUGUUAAGGUGUUGUUUUAGUGUUCUUUUUUAUGAGUUUGGCUAGUUGUUAGGAGCAUUGUUUGUUUUGGCGAGUUUGAAGGUUUUUGAGCAUGUUUAAUGGCAUGUUUGUGUUAAGGUGUUGUUUUAGUGUUCUUUUGAUGAGUUUGGCUUGUUGUUAUGAACAUUGUUUGUUUUGGCGAGUUUGAAGGUUUGUGAGCAUGUAGUAUGGCACGUAUGUGUUGAAUUGGUUACCCCUUGUGUUAAGCUGUGUUUUAAGUGUUCUUUUAAAGAGUUUGGCUUGUUGUUAUGAACAUUGUUUGUUUUGACGAAUUUAAAGAUUUGUGAGCAUGUGUAAUGGCAUGUAUGUGUUAAAUUAAUUCACCCUUGUGUUUAGAUAUAUUUUUAGUGUUCUUUUGAUGAGUUUUGGCUUGUUGUUAUGAACAUUGUUUGUUUUGGCGAGUUUGAAGGUUUUUGAGCAUGUGUAAUGGCAUGAAUUUGUUAAGCUGUUGUUUUAGUGUUCUUUUGAUGAUUUUGGCUUGUUGUUAUGCACAUUGUUUGUUUGGGCGAGUUUCAAGGUUUUUGAGCAUGUUUAAUGGCAUGUUUGUGUUGAAUUAGUUAACCCUUUUGUUAAGCUGUUAUUUUAGUGUUCUUUUGAUGAGUUUGGCUUGUUGUUAUGAACAUUAUUCGUUCUGGCGAGUUUGAAGGUUUUUGAGCAUGUGUAAUGGCAUGAAUGUGUUAAGCUGUUGUUUUAGUGUUCUUUUGAUGAGUUUGGCUUGUUGUUAUGAACAUUGUUUGUUUUGGCGAGUUUGAACGUUUUUGAGCAUGUGUAAUGGCAUGAAUGCGUUAAGCUGUUGUUUUAGUGUUCUUUUGAUGAGUUUGGCUUGUUGUUAUGAACAUUGUUCGUUUUGGCGAGUUUGAAGGUUUUUGAGCAUGUGUAAUGGCAUGAAUGUGUUAAGCUGUUGUUUUAGUGUUCUUUUGAUGAGUUUGGCUUGUUGUUAUGAAAAGUGUUUGUUUUGGCGAGCAUGAAGGUUUUUGAGCAUGUGUAAUGGCAUGAAUGUGUUGAAUUAGUAAUCCAUUGUGUUAAAAUGUGUUUUAAGUGUUCUUUUAAGGAGUUUGGCUUGUUGUUAUGCACAUUGUUUGUUUGGGCGAGUUUCAAGGUUUUUGAGCAUGUUUAAUGGCAUGUUUGUGUUGAAUUAGUUAACCCUUUUGUUAAGCUGUUGUUUUAGUGUUCUUUUGAUGAGUUUGGCUUGUUGUUAUGAAAAUUGUUUGUUUUGGCGAGUUUGAAGGUUUUUGAGCAUGUGUAAUGGCAUGAAUGUGUUAAGCUGUUGUUUUAGUGUUCUUUUGAUGAGUUUGGCUUGUUGUUAUGAGCAUUGUUUGUUUUGGCGAGUUUGAAGUUUUUUGAGCAUGUGUGAUGGCAUGAAUGUUUUAAGCUGUUGUUUUAGUGUUCUUUUGAUGAGUUUGGCUUGUUGUUAUGAACAUUGUUUGUUUUGGCGAGUUUGAAGGUUUUUGAGCAUGUGUAAUAGCAUGAACUUGUUAAGCUGUUGUUUUAGUGUUCUUUUGAUGAUUUUGGCUUGUUGUUAUGCACAUUGUUUGUUUGGGCGAGUUUAAAGGUUUUUGAGCAUGUUUAAUGGCAUGUUUGUGUUGAAUUAGUUAACCCUUGUGUUAAGCUGUUGUUUUAGUGUUCUUUUGAUGAGAUUGGCUUGUUGUUAUGAACAUUGUUUUUUUUUGGCGAGUUUGAACGUUUUUGAGCAUGUGUAAUGGCAUGAAUGCGUUAAGCUGUUGUUUUAGUGUUCUUUUGAUGAGUUUGGCUUGUUGUUAUGAACAUUGUUCGUUUUGGCGAGUUUGAAGGUUUUUGAGCAUGUGUAAUGGCAUGAAUGUGUUAAGCUGUUGUUUUAGUGUUCUUUUGAUGAGUUUGGCUUGUUGUUAUGAACAUUGUUUGUUUUGGCGAGUUUGAACGUUUUUGAGCAUGUGUAAUGGCAUGAAUGCGUUAAGCUGUUGUUUUAGUGUUCUUUUGAUGAGUUUGGCUUGUUGUUAUGAACAUUGUUCGUUUUGGCGAGUUUGAAGGUUUUUGAGCAUGUGUAAUGGCAUGAAUGUGUUAAGCUGUUGUUUUAGUGUUCUUUUGAUGAGUUUGGCUUGUUGUUAUGAAAAGUGUUUGUUUUGGCGAGUAUGAAGGUUUUUGAGCAUGUGUAAUGGCAUGAAUGUGUUGAAUUAGUAAUCCAUUGUGUUAAAAUGUGUUUUAAGUGUUCUUUUAAGGAGUUUGGCUUGUUGUUAUGAACACUGUUUGUUUUGGCGAGUUUGAAGGUUUUUGAGCAUGUGUAAUGGCAUGAAUGUGUUAAGCUGUUGUUUUAGUGUUCUUUUGAUGAGUUUGGCUUGUUGUUAUGAACAUUGUUUGUUUUGGCGAGUAUGAAGGUUUUUGAGCAUGUGUAAUGGCAUGAAUGUGUUGAAUUAGUAAUCCCUUGUGUUAAGAUGUAUUUUAAGUGUUAUUUUAAGGAGUUUGGCUUGUUGUUAUGAAAAUUGUUUGUUUUGGCGAGUUUGAAGGUUUUUGAGCAUGUGUAAUGGCAUGAAUGUGUUAAGCUGUUGUUUUAGUGUUCUUUUGAUGAGUUUGGCUUGUUGUUAUGCACAUUGUUUGUUUGGGCGAGUUUAAAGGUUUUUGAGCAUGUUUAAUGGCAUGAAUGUGUUAAAUUAGUAAUCCCUUGUGUUAAGAUGUAUUUUAAGUGUUCUUUAAAGGAGUUUGGCUUGUUGUUAUGAAAAGUGUUUGUUUUGGCGAGUUUGAAGGUUUUUGAGCAUGUGUAAUGGCAUGAAUGUGUUAAGCUGUUGUUUUAGUGUUCUUUUGAUGAGUUCGGCUUGUUGUUAUGAACAUUGUUUGUUUUGGCGAGUUUGAAGGUUUUUGAGCAUGUGUAAUGGCAUGAAUUUGUUAAGCUGUUCUUUUAGUGUUCUUUUGAUGAUUUUGGCUUGUUGUUAUGCACAUUGUUUGUUUGGGCGAGUUUCAAGGUUUUUGAGCAUGUUUAAUGGCAUGUUUGUGUUGAAUUAGUUAACCCUUGUGUUAAGCUGUUGUUUUAGUGUUCUUUUGAUGAGUUUGGCUUGUUGUUAUGAACAUUGUUCGUUUUGGCGAGUUUGAAGGUUUUUGAGCAUGUGUAAUGGCAUGAAUGUGUUAAGCUGUUGUUUUAGUGUUCUUUUGAUGAGUUUGGCUUGUUGUUAUGAACAUUGUUUGUUUUGGUGAGUAUGAAGGUUUUUGAGCAUGUGUAAUGGCAUGAAUGUGUUGAAUUAGUAAUCCAUUGUGUUAAGAUGUGUUUUAAGUGUUCUUUUAAGGAGUUUGGCUUGUUGUUAUGAACACUGUUUGUUUUGGCGAGUUUGAAGGUUUUUGAGCAUGUGUAAUGGCAUGAAUGUGUUAAGCUGUUUGUUUUAGUGUUCUUUUAAUGAGUUUGGCUUGUUGUUAUGAACAUUGUUUGUUUUGGCGAGUAUGAAGGUUUUUGAGCAUGUGUAAUGGCAUGAAUGUGUUGAAAUAGUAAUCCCUUGUGUUAAAAUGUAUUUUAAGUGUUCUUUUCAGGAGUUUGGCUUGUUGUUAUGAACACUGUUUGUUUUGGCGAGUUUGAAGGUUUUUGAGCAUGUGUAAUGGCAUGAAUGUGUUAAGCUGUUGUUUUAGUGUUCUUUUGAUGAGUUUGGCUUGUUGUUAUGCACAUUGUUUGUUUGGGCGAGUUUAAAGGCUUUUGAGCAUGUUUAAUGGCAUGAAUGUGUUGAAUUAGUUAACCCUUGUGUUAAACUUUUGUUUGAGUGUUCUUUUGAUGAGAUUGGCUUGUUGUUAUGAACAUUGUUUUUUUUGGCGAGUUUGAAGGUUUUUGAGCAUGUGUAAUGGCAUGAAUGUGUUAAGCUGUUGUUUUAGUGUUCUUUUGAUGAGUUUGGCUUGUUGUUAUGAACAUUGUUUGUUUUGGGGAGUUUGAAGGUUUGUGAGCAUGUAGUAUGGCACGUAUCUGUUGAAUUGGUUACCCCUUGUGUUAAGCUGUGUUUUAAGUGUUCUUUUAAAGAGUUUGGCUUGUUGUUAUGAACAUUGUUUGUUUUGACGAGUUUAAAGAUUUGUGAGCAUGUGUAAAGCCAUGUAUGUGUUGAAUUAGUUCACCCUUGUGUUUAGAUGUAUUUUUAGUGUUCUUUUGAUGAGUUUUGGCUUGUUGUUAUGAGCAUUGUUUGUUUUGGCGUGUUUGAAGGUUUUUGAGCAUGUGUAAUGGCAUGAAUGUGUUGAAUUAGUAAUCCCUUGUGUUAAGCUGUUGUUUUAGUGUUCUUGUGAUGAGUUUGGCUUGUUGUUGUGACCAUUGUUCGUUUUGGCCAGUUUGAAGGUUUUUGAGCAUAUGUAAUGGCAUGAAUGUGUUGAAUUAUUAAUCCCUUGUUUUAAGCUGUUGUUUUAGUGUUCUCUUGAAGAGUUUGGCUUUUUGUUAUGAAAAGUGUUUGUUUUGGCGAGUUUGAAGGUUUUUGAGCAUGUGUAAUGGCAUGAAUUUGUUAAGCUGUUGUUUUAGUGUUCUUUUCAGGAGUUUGGCUUGUUGUUUUGAACACUGUUUGUUUUGGCGAGUUUAAAGGUUUUUGAGCAUGUUUAAUGGCAUGUUUGUGUUAAGGUGUUGUUUUAGUGUUCUUUUGAUGAGUUUGGCUAGUUGUUAGGAGCAUUGUUUGUUUUGGCGAGCUUGAAGGUUUUUGAGCAUGUUUAAUGGCAUGUUUGUGUUAAGGUGUUGUUUUAGUGUUCUUUUGAUGAGUUUGGCUUUCUUGUUAUGAACAUUGUUUGUUUUGGCGAGUUUGAAGGUUUGUGAGCAUGUAGUAUGGCACGUAUGUGUUGAAUUGGUUACCCCUUGUGUUAAGCUGUGUUUUAAGUGUUCUUUUAAAGAGUUUGGCUUGUUGUUAUGAACAUUGUUUGUUUUGACGAGUUUAAAGAUUUGUGAGCAUGUGUAAUGGCAUGUAUGUGUUGAAUUAGUUCACCCUUGUGUUUAGAUGUAUUUUUAGUGUUCUUUUGAUGAGUUUUGACUUGUUGUUAUGAGCAUUGUUUGUUUUGGCGUGUUUGAAGGUUUUUGAGCAUAUGUAAUGGCAUGAAUGUGUUGAAUUAUUAGUCCCUUGUUUUAAGCUGUUGUUUUAGUGUUCUCUUGAUGAGUUUGGCUUGUUGUUAUGAAAAGUGUUUGUUUUGGCGAGUUUGAACGUUUUUGAGCAUGUGUAAUGGCAUGAAUGCGUUAAGCUGUUGUUUUAGUGUUCUUUUGAUGAGUUUGGCUUGUUGUUAUGAA
rnacentral:lncRNA from 1 species